rnacentral:rRNA from 1 species
CGCGUAGGCGGGUAUAUAAGUCAGAUGUGAAAUUCCAAAGCUCAACUUUGGAGCUGCAUUUGAAACUAUAAAUCUUGAGGAUUGACGGAGAAAACGGAAUUCCACGUGUAGCGGUGAAAUGCGUAGGUAUGUGGAAGAACACCUGUGGCGAAAGCGGUUUUCUAGUUUAUACCUGACGCUGAGGCGCGAGAGCAAGGGGAGCAAACA